UGGCCCGUGGUGGAAUUGGCAACACGCUUGGCUCUGACCCAAGAGAUUCCAGGUUCGAACCCUGGCGGGCCAA
rnacentral:tRNA from 1 species